UCUGAUAUUUUUGGAGCCCACACCAGAUUUUUCCAUCAAAUUCUUCCCCGCUCACACAUCAUCUAAUUUGUUUCCCUCCCGAUCGAUCUCCUUCACAAUUUCCCCAAUAAGCAAAUCCUCCCAGAUUCUGAUCUUCCUUUCAAUUCUUUCCAAACUCGAUUGCCAACCGACCUGAAUAUCGACGAGGGGUUGACUCCCAUCCAACCAACCAUGUCCGUAGCCAUGGAAGAGAGAGGAGGGAGAGGGGAACGCAGUGGCCUCUUGGCCACGCCGCCGCUGCUGCUUGCGUGGUUGUUCUCCUCCGUCCAUCCCCAAGUCCAGCUCGAUCUCCAGCUGCGGGGACACCGCAGAUGGCCAGUCUAGGUACACGCACCCGCCGCUCAUCAUAGAGGACACCGUUGUGCCCGUCCUCACACUAGAGCCACCUCCAGCCAAGAUUGACGAGACCACUGGAUCAUGUGGAGCUAGACAUAGGGGACUGCAUCCCUCCCUUCCACCUUCGGUGGAGAAGAUCCUGCAUGGCUACACCAAGAUUGCUUCUCAUGUUGAUAAUGCGCCCUUCAAGGAUGCAGUGCCCCAUGGGUUCCGGCGCACGGGGAUGGCAAGAUCUGCAUCGUCCGCAUCAUCGACGCGCAGUUUGUUAGCUUCAAUGGAUUUGUGGCCUCGGCUCAUCCGGUCCAGGAGGACAAAAGUGCUUGGCGAAUAGAUACAUGCAACACGAGACCAAAAGUAAAAUUUAGGUACAUUUUGUUGAUCCAAAAAUUAUGUUAUGCACUAGAUCAAUUAUCUCGUCGAGCCGCCGGCACUGUCCCUAUACUCCAAUACCAUGUGUGAUGGAUUUCGUUGUUGUACCAAGCAUUUUCUGAAUUUAUUGGCAUUCAUUCA